rnacentral:rRNA from 1 species
UACAGAGGUGGCAAGCGUUGUUCGGAAUUACUGGGCGUAAAGGGCGCGUAGGCGGUCUUCUAAGUCUUGUGUGAAAUCCCUCGGCUCAACUGUGGAACUGCCUCGGAUACUGGGUGCCUCGAGGGUGGUAGGGGUAUGCGGAACUAUCGGUGGAGCGGUGAAAUGCGUUGAUAUCGAUAGGAACUCCGGUGGCGAAGGCGGCAUACUGGACCACAUCUGACGCUGAGGCGCGAAAGCCAGGGGAGCGAACGGG